UCCAGUUUUCAAUCUCUGCUAGCCAAAAUGUUGUAUAAGCCACCAGUCACAUGGUUCUAGGUUAUGUUUCAGUGGAAGUUGAAGCGUGAUUCUUGUUUCAUUGGUCUGUGUAGCGUGAUUUGCUGUAUAUUUUUGUUGUUUGAAAUUGAAUUAUCCAGGAAAACUUAUCAAGAGAAUGAGUUUGUAAACUGUUUCAUCAUUUCUUUGAGAGGUUGGAAAAAAUGACUAGUAGAGCUGCUAUGUUGGUUGAAUUGGCCAAGAAAUCUAAUACCAGUACUACAGAAUUUGCCAGUUUAAAAAAGGAGAUGAAAAUGAAUCUAAGAAAUAGCUAUGAUGAAGAUGAAGAAACAAGGAAAAUAUCAAUGCUUUGUAGAAGGAGCAAGACUGAAGUAACAUCAAAAACCCAACUGUACAAUGAUAAGCUUCCAAUAAAUGAGAGAAAAUAUAAAAACUUAACAGAUUUGUGUAAAAAUGGAAUCAUCCCUGAAAGAUUCCAUACUGAAUACUUCCAGAUCCCUCA